UUACGGGAGGCAGCAGUAGGGAAUCUUCCACAAUGGACGAAAGUCUGAUGGAGCAACGCCGCGUGAGUGAAGAAGGGUUUCGGCUCGUAAAGCUCUGUUGGUAGUGAAGAAAGAUAGAGGUAGUAACUGGCCUUUAUUGACGGUAAU
rnacentral:rRNA from 1 species